rnacentral:lncRNA from 1 species
GGUAUUAAUUAGGUGGGCUUAUGUUCCUAUCAUAGAGGUUAAUCUUCUUUUAGGUAUUUGAGCUCCGACUGGUUAAUCAACCUGCAAAACAGAACACCGUUACUCGUUAAGAGGGGAAUGUGGGGGUUUUCCCUCUUAACCAGGCUCCGGCGUGAGAAUAAGUACUGUUCCGAGAUGAAUAAAACAGUGUGUGUAUAGAGUGAGUAAAGAGAGCCAAGAUCCUUAACCUGAAUGAUGAAGGGUUCUAUUUAUAGCCGGAGGGUGAAGAAGGAGGAAGUAGCUGUGCCAGCUGUGGAUGUGCGCCAGCUGUCCGACCAAGGGGAAUAUCCUCUUG